CGUGUCACGGUGGGUGCCGAGUCAAGCGUCACAUCUCGGAGUUCAUUGGCUCCUCUCCGUCAAACACGCGGUGCGUCUGUCUUCAAUCUUCACUGGCCAGCGAGCUCAGAGGUGGGGUUCCGCAGUCGCCCGGACAUGGCGGACGGCGGCGCCUGGCGGCCGCCGCGCCCCUGCGAGGCCUACCGCGCCGAGUGGAAACUCUGCCGCAGCGCCAGACACUUCCUGCACCACUACUACGUCCACGGCGAACGGCCGGCCUGCGAGCAGUGGCGGCGCGACCUGGCCAGCUGCCGGGAGUGGGAGGAGCGCCGAAGCGCGGAGGCCCAGCAGUCCCUCUGUGAGAGCGAGCGUGCAAGAGUCCAGGCUACACGGAAGCAUGCCCUGGUGUGGGCCCUAAGGCAGAGCCCUCCUGCAGACUGGCACCUCCCUCUGCCACAGGACGAGAAAGACCAGUGAUGAGCACUCCUGAACGGCUUCCUCUGAUCUGUUUCAAAUGGGGCUGUCGCAAGACCCUGAGGACGGUGACGGGCCCAAACAGUCUAGUGGGUCCCUGAAGCUUCCACUCGGCUUAGAGCACAGAGCCUGAGGUCUCCAGCCCUAAUUGCCCACUCCUGCUGCUGCCUUGCUCUGACACAGUUUCACCCACUGCACAGCUUCCAGGAUGCCAAACACCAUUGCAGAGCCCGGUGAGCAGCCAGGUCAGGCUGGUUCAUGCUCCCCGCUGGGGACAACAGCACUCUCAGGUCAUGAUCCCAGGGUCCUGGGAUCCAGCCUCGAAGCCAGCCUCGAAGCCAGCCUCGCAGCCAGCCAGCCGCCAGCCUCGCAGCCAGCCAGCAGCCAGCCAGCCAGCGGCCUCCCUGCUCAGCCGGGAGUCUGCUUCUCACUCUGCUCCUACCCCCGCUUGUGCUCUCUCUUGCUCACUCUCAUGCAUAAAUAAAUAACUAAAUAACUAAAUAAAUAAAAUAAAAUAAAAUCUUACAAAAAAAAUAAGUAAAUCCUCUAGCAUCAAGACUGAGCUUUGUGCAGAUGAAUGGAUAAAGAAGAUGUGGUCCAUAUAUACAAUGGAAUAUUACUCAGCCAUCAGAAAGGAUGAAUACCCAACUUUUACAUCCACAUGGAUGGGACUGGAGGAGAUUAUGUUAAGUGAAAUAAGUCAAGCAGAGAAAGUCAAUUAUCAUAUGGUUUCACUUAUUUGUGGAACAUAGGAAUAGCAUGGAGGACGUUAGGAGAAGGAAGGGAAAAAUGAGGGGGUGGAAUUGAAGGGAGAGAUGAACCAUGAGAGACUAUGGACCUGAGAAACAAACAGGGUUUUAGAGGGGAGGGGAGAGGGGAGAUUGGUUAGCCUGGUGAUGGGUAUUAAGGAGGGCACGUACUGCAUGGAGCACUGGGUGUUAUACGAAAACAAUGGAUCGUGGAUCACCACAUCAAAAACCAAUGAUGUAUUGUAUGCUGACUAACAUAACAUAAUAAUAAUAAAAAAAAAAAGACUGAGCUUUGUGAAUCAAGUCCCUAGAAAGCAUCCAGACUCCUCUAAUCCUCAUGCCUCCCCCGACCUCUCCAAGCAAUCAGAUGUCUAUGCUGUGUCCUUUAAAACAUACAACAAUCCCUUUAAAACUGAUUUUUAUUUAAACCACUUUUACGUUUAAUUUUUAUUUUCUGAUUACAGGCAGCAGUAUUCCACAUACAGAAUGCUGAAAAACAGAAAACAUCUACCUAAAUGUAACUGACAAAUUUCGCAAUUAAUUUUGCAAACCAAAUGUCCAGUGGUCUUGUUUUGUUCUGUUUAUAUGCACAUCAGUCUCCUGCUG